rnacentral:rRNA from 1 species
UACGUAGGGUGCAAGCGUUAUCCGGAAUUAUUGGGCGUAAAGAGCUCGUAGGCGGUUUGUCACGUCUGCUGUGAAAACUGGAGGCUCAACCUCCAGCCUGCAGUGGGUACGGGCAGACUAGAGUGCGGUAGGGGAGACUGGAAUUCCUGGUGUAGCGGUGGAAUGCGCAGAUAUCAGGAGGAACACCGAUGGCGAAGGCAGAUCUCUGGGCCGUAACUGACGCUGAGGAGCGAAAGCAUGGGGAGCGAACAGG